GAGUUUGAUCCUGGCUCAGGAUGAACGCUAGCGGCAGGCUUAAUACAUGCAAGUCGAGGGGCAGCAGCUUUAUAGCAAUAUAGAGGCUGGCGACCGGCAAACGGGUGCGGAACACGUACACAACCUUCCUUGAAUAGGGGGAUAGCCCAUAGAAAUGUGGAUUAAUACCCCGUAAUAUAGCGGUGUGGCAUCACACUGUUAUUAUAGUCUCGGCGAUUCGAGAUGGGUGUGCGGCUGAUUAGGUAGUUGGCGGGGUAAAGGCCCACCAAGCCUUCGAUCAGUAGCUGAUGUGAGAGCAUGAUCAGCCACACGGGCACUGAGACACGGGCCCGACUCCUACGGGAGGCAGCAGUAAGGAAUAUUGGUCAAUGGACGCAAGUCUGAACCAGCCAUGCCGCGUGAAGGAUGAAGGUCCUCUGGAUUGUAAACUUCUUUUAUAGGGGGCGAAAAAAGGUCUUUCUAGAUCACUUGACAGUACCCUAUGAAUAAGCACCGGCUAACUCCGUGCCAGCAGCCGCGGUAAUACGGAGGGUGCAAGCGUUAUCCGGAUUCACUGGGUUUAAAGGGUGCGUAGGCGGGUAGGUAAGUCAGAGGUGAAAUCCUGGAGCUUAACUCCAGAACUGCCUUUGAUACUAUCUAUCUUGAAUAUGGUGGAGGUAAGCGGAAUAUGUCAUGUAGCGGUGAAAUGCAUAGAUAUGACAUAGAACACCUAUUGCGAAGCAGCUUACUACGCCUAUAUUGACGCUGAGGCACGAAAGCGUGGGGAUCAAACAGGAUUAGAUACCCYGGGUAGUCCACGCCCUAAACGAUGAUUACUCGACGUAUGCGAUACACAGUAUGCGUYYUGAKCGAAKCAUUAGUAAUCCWCCUGGGWAAKUWCGAACCGCAAGGUUGAAAYUCWAAGGAAUUGGCGGGGGUCCSWMARCG
rnacentral:rRNA from 1 species